rnacentral:rRNA from 1 species
CCUACGGGAGGCUGCAGUGAGGAAUAUUGGUCAAUGGGCGCGAGCCUGAACCAGCCAAGUAGCGUGAAGGAUGACUGCCCUACGGGUUGUAAACCUCUUUUAUAAAGGAAUAAAGUGCGGCACGUGUGCCUUUUUGUAUGUACUUUAUGAAUAAGGAUCGGCUAACUCCGUGCCAGCAGCCGCGGUAAUACGGAGGAUCCGAGCGUUAUCCGGAUUUAUUGGGUUUAAAGGGAGCGUAGACGGGUUGUUAAGUCAGUUGUGAAAGUUUGCGGCUCAACCGUAGAAUUGCAUUUGAUACUGGCAGCCUUGAGUACAGGUGAGGUAGGCGGAAUUCGUGGUGUAGCGGUGAAAUGCUUAGAUAUCACGAAGAACUCCGAUUGCGAAGGCAGCUUACUAAACUGCCACUGACAUUGAUGCUCGAAAGUGUGGGUAUCAAACAGGAUUAGAUACCCGAGUAGUC